rnacentral:rRNA from 1 species
UACGGGGGGGGCAAGCGUUGUUCGGAAUUACUGGGCGUAAAGGGUUCGUAGGUGGCCAACUAAGUCAGACGUGAAAUCCCUCGGCUUAACCGGGGAACUGCGUCUGAUACUGGAUGGCUUGAGUUCGGGAGAGGGAUGCGGAAUUCCAGGUGUAGCGGUGAAAUGCGUAGAUAUCUGGAGGAGCACCGGUGGCGAAGGCGGCAUCCUGGACCGACACUGACGCUGAGGAGCGAAAGCCAGGGGAGCAAACGGG